AAGGCACAAGGCACAGAGGAGGAGCUACGUGAAGGAACCACAGAUCUGGAAGAUUCCUUGUGGUGAGCUGCCUGGCCAUGCUCAGCGUUCUUGUCAUCAGCUUUGUCGUGAGUGACGGGAACUUGGCCUCGUCCUUUUUCUCCGCAUCUCGGUUUCUUCUGCUUCGACACGUCCUCAAGUUUUUUCAGGAGCAGCUGAAAAUCCUAGGAGGACAGACGUGAAAUACCGCCCCCAACACACAACUGUGCAAGGAUAGAUACCAGCUAAUUAUUGUGGAUAUGCUUUGUCAAGAUCAGAUAAACAGACUCUACAGCUACAUAUAGAACAAUUUCUGCUGAAGAAAACCUGAUGGGAAAGACUGGUACCUCACACAAGGUAUAAUCUCAACUAAGAACUGCAACUAAACUGAGACCCCAAACGCCUAGUUAAGAAAACCAAGUAGGAUCAAGUUAUAUGACAAGGCCAUAGUGAACUGAAUGUUUAUUUUUUAUUAAAGUUAUUUAUUUUCUUAUAUCAUAGCUCAUUUUUGUACAGUAGUUAAUUCCCCACCUCAAGUGCAGUCCUAUAAUUCUCCCCCAACUAUAGAAACCAAGAUUCAUCAUAGAAGAACACAGUCCUUUGUGUUCUUCCCUCUACCUUCCUUGCUGUAUAACUCAGACUUAUGGUGAC